rnacentral:rRNA from 1 species
GAUGGACGCUAGCGGCAGGCUUAAUACAUGCAAGUCGAGGGACAGCACAGGUAGCAAUACUGGGUGGUAACCGGCAAACGGGUGCGGAACACGUACACAACCUUCCUUUAAGUGGGGGAUAGCCCAGAGAAGUUUGGAUUAAUACCCCGUAAUAUAGUUGAAUGGCAUCAUUCGAUUAUUAUAGCUACGGCGCUUAAUGAUGGGUGUGCGGCUGAUUAGAUAGUUGGCGGGGUAACGGCCCACCAAGUCUACGAUCAGUAGCUGAUGUGAGAGCAUGAUCAGCCACACGGGCACUGAGAACCGGGCCCGACUCCUACGGGAGGCAGCAGUAAGGAAUAUUGGUCAAUGGACGCAAGUCUGAACCAGCCAUGCCGCGUGAAGGAUUAAGGUCCUCUGGAUUGUAAACUUCUUUUAUUUGGGACGAAAAAGGGCCUUUCUAGGUCAACUGACGGUACCAGAUGAAUAAGCACCGGCUAACUCCGUGCCAGCAGCCGCCGUAAGAC